rnacentral:lncRNA from 1 species
UGCUUCACGUACAACUGAGGGACUCAAUUGACUCCGCAUCACUUGCUUGACGUUUUCCCUGCAUCGAUUCCGGCGAUGAAGCCUGGAUGACGGAAUUGCCAUGAAUGGCAGUGGCGAAGCCAUUGUCGAAGUAAUUUUCGGCCAAUUAAGGCACAGUCAGUCCAAUUUGAACACAGAUCCGGAGUCCCCAUGAGAUUUCGAACAUUUUGGUGUAUAUAUUGUAAAAUUCUGGGCAAAAGUCGUUUUUCCGACCACCGUGCACGGAGGCGACGNNN